ACAAUGGUGUUUUUCAACACCAUCAACCAAACUCUUGGAAAGAUG
rfam:Picea glauca, whole genome shotgun sequence.